rnacentral:rRNA from 1 species
CACGGGGGGAGCAAGCGUUGUUCGGAAUCACUGGGCGUAAAGGGCGUGCAGGCGGUCAGGUAAGUGGGAUGUGAAAUGCCCCGGCUCACCCGGGGACCGGCAUCUCAUACUGCUUGGCUUGAGUACGGGAGAGGAUGUGGGAAUUCCUGGUGUAGCGGUGAAAUGCGUAGAUAUCGGGAGGAACACCGGUGGCGAAGGCGGCAUCCUGGACCGGCAUUGACGCUGAGGCGCGAAAGCCAGGGGAGCAAACGGG